AUUGAACGCUGGCGGCAGGCCUAACACAUGCAAGUCGAACGAGCGGCGGACGGGUGAGUAAUGUCUGGGAAACUGCCUGAUGGAGGGGGAUAACUACUGGAAACGGUAGCUAAUACCGCAUACCAUCAGAUGUGCCCAGAUGGGAUUAGCUAGUAGGUGGGGUAAUGGCUCACCUAGGCGACGAUCCCUAGCUGGUCUGAGAGGAUGACCAGCCACACUGGAACUGAGACACGGUCCAGACUCCUACGGGAGGCAGAAGUGGGGAAUAGUGCACAAUGGGCGAAAGCCGGAUGCAGCCAUGCCGCGUGGGUGAAGAAGGCCUUCGGGUUGUAAAGUACUUUCAGCGGGGAGGCGUUACCAGCAGAAGAAGCACCGGCUAACUCCGUGCCAGCAGCCGCGGUAAAAC
rnacentral:rRNA from 1 species